GACGAACGCUGGCGGCGUGCUUAACACAUGCAAGUCGAACGGUGAAGGGACCGGUUUUUGCUGGUUCUGGAUGAGUGGCGAACGGGUGAGUAACACGUGAGUAACCUGCCCCCUUCUUCUGGAUAACCGCAUGAAAGUGUGGCUAAUACGGGAUAUUCUGCGCCUGCUGCAUGGUGGGUGUGGGAAAGAUAUUGUUUCGGUGGGGGAUGGGCUCGCGGCCUAUCAGCUUGUUGGUGGAGUGAUGGCCUACCAAGGCGGUGACGGGUAGCCGGCCUGAGAGGGUGGGCGGUCACGCGGGGGCGGAGAGACGGCCCAGACUCCGGCGGGAGGCAGCAGUGGGGAAUAGUGCACAAUGGGGGCAAGGCUGAUGCAGCGACGCCGCGUGAGGGAUGGAGGCCUUCGGGUUGUAAACCUCUUUCGCCAGUGAAGCAGGGCUGUCCCUUUUGUGGGUGGGUUGACGGUAGCUGGAUAAGAAGCGCCGGCUAACUACGUG
rnacentral:rRNA from 1 species